ACUCCUACGGGAGGCAGCAGUGGGGAAUUUUCCGCAAUGGGCGCAAGCCUGAUGGAGCAACACCGCGUGAGUGAAGAAGGGUUUCGGCUCGUAAAGCUCUGUUAUUGGAGAAGAACGUGCGUGAGAGUAACUGUUCACGCAGUGACGGUAUCCAACCAGAAAGUCACGGCUAACUACGUGCCAGCAGCCGCGGUA
rnacentral:rRNA from 1 species